rnacentral:rRNA from 1 species
AGAGCGAACGCUGGCGGCAGGCCUAACACAUGCAAGUCGAACGGACCCUUCGGGGUUAGUGGCGGACGGGUGAGUAACACGUGGGAACGUGCCUUUAGGUUCGGAAUAGCUCCUGGAAACGGGUGGUAAUGCCGAAUGUGCCCUUCGGGGGAAAGAUUUAUCGCCUUUAGAGCGGCCCGCGUCUGAUUAGCUAGUUGGUGGGGUAAUGGCCCACCAAGGCUACGAUCAGUAGCUGGUCUGAGAGGAUGACCAGCCACAUUGGGACUGAGACACGGCCCAAACUCCUACGGGAGGCAGCAGUGGGGAAUCUUGCGCAAUGGGCGAAAGCCUGACGCAGCCAUGCCGCGUGUAUGAUGAAGGUCUUAGGAUUGUAAAAUACUUUCACCGGUGAAGAUAAUGACUGUAGCCGGAGAAGAAGCCCCGGCUAACUUCGUGCCAGCAGCCGCGGUAAUACGAAGGGGGCUAGCGUUGCUCGGAAUUACUGGGCGUAAAGGGAGCGUAGGCGGACAUUUAAGUCAGAGGUGAAAUCCCGGAGCUUAACUUCGGAACUGCCUUUGAUACUGGGUGUCUUGAGUGUGAGAGAGGUAUGUGGAACUCCGAGUGUAGAGGUGAAAUUCGUAGAUAUUCGGAAGAACACCAGUGGCGAAGGCGACAUACUGGCUCAUUACUGACGCUGAGGCUCGAAAGCGUGGGGAGCAAACAGGAUUAGAUACCCUGGUAGUCCACGCCGUAA